rnacentral:rRNA from 1 species
ACCAGGGGUUUUGCUUUUGCGCGUGGAAAAAGGCGUGCUUCCUCGCUUCUUUUCUCGACUGCGAAUGCCGGCGGCGACUGUCACAAUUGCCCUGGAAACUACCCAUCCUGCAUGAAACGGAUGGACGGCUACCUCCCCCAGGCGGAUCGAAAACGCGCUCCAGAGGGCCUCCCCGGCCCCUCCGUGAAAGGCUGGAGCCCUUGUGUUUCCAGGCUUUUAGGGGUGUGGCAGGGCUUCUCCCAAGGCUUGCGGAAAAAUGUCGGAAGGCUGAUGGCAUUUCAUCCAACUGUCACAUUCCUUUCAUAGAGUCUUCAUG